UACGUAGGCAGCGAGCGUUUGUUCGGAGUUACUGGGCGUAAAGGGUGUGUAGGCGGUUGUUUAAGUUUGGUGUGAAAUCUCCCGGCUCAACUGGGAGGGUGCGCCGAAUACUGAAUGACUCGAGUGUGGGAGAGGUGAGUGGAAUUCCUGGUGUAGCGGUGAAAUGCGUAGAUAUCAGGAGGAACACCGGUGGUGUAGACGGCUCACUGGACCAUAACUGACGCUGAGACACGAAAGCGUGGGUAGCAAACAGG
rnacentral:rRNA from 1 species